CCCAAAGGUUUAGAGACGUGUUGGAUGGUUGGGGCCAACUUAGGCACAUUAAGGUGCUGAUGAUUGGUUAGGAGGUGCAGCCCUCCUCACCUCUCCAGAAGCAUUUUGGAUUCCAGAGGCAGUUGUUUAGCAACAUGUAAUCUUGCAAGUCACAGUCUCCAGUGGUGGAAUGUCAAGCCAAAAGAGAUCCACCUUCAGCCCCCACAGAAGGGCAGGUCUUUCCAUACAACUGAAACACCAGGAAAGAAGAGUCGUCACCUGACUGUGAAUCUACCCACUUUUAAAAUCAGGAUGGCACACAGAUCUCACAGAACACCUGCUUACCAUCACAUAAUGGAAUCUCCUCAACAUGGAACCUUACGAUGCUUUGCACUGGGCACCGCUGAGGGUGGACAGGAAUAAAACUGUCCAUCUGGGGAAAGUAUGGACAUUAAAAACAAAAUAAAAUUAUGAAAGACCAGAC
rnacentral:lncRNA from 1 species